GACGAACGCUGGCGGCGUGCUUAACACAUGCAAGUCGAACGGAAAGGCCCUGCUUUUGUGGGGUGCUCGAGUGGCGAACGGGUGAGUAACACGUGAGUAACCUGCCCUUGACUUUGGGAUAACUUCAGGAAACUGGGGCUAAUACCGGAUAGGAGCUCCUGCUGCAUGGUGGGGGUUGGAAAGUUUCGGCGGUUGGGGAUGGACUCGCGGCUUAUCCGCUUGUUGGUGGGGUAGUGGCUUACCAAGGCUUUGAAGGGUAGCCGGCCUGAGAGGGUGACCGGCCACAUUGGGACUGAGAUACGGCCCAGACUCCUACGGGAGGCAGCAGUGGGGAAUAUUGCACAAUGGGCGGAAGCCUGAUGCAGCAACGCCGCGUGCGGGAUGACGGCCUUCGGGUUGUAAACCGCUUUCGCCUGUGACGAAGCGUGAGUGACGGUAAUGGGUAAAGAAGCACCGGCUAACUACGUG
rnacentral:rRNA from 1 species